CGGAGGGCGGCGCCCGCCUCCCCGCUCGGGCCGCGCUCCGCCCCGUCUCCGCCCCGUCUCCGCCCCGCGCCGGCCCUUGGCCUUGGUCACCAGCAGCUUCCCCCGGGCCUCCCCACCCCCCGCCCACGGACGCCCCAGCCAUAACAUGAAGAAGAAAGAAAGAAAGAAAGAAAAGAAAAGAAAAGAAAGAAGGAAAGACAAGAAGUGUAAAAGGGAAACUCAUUAAGAUUGAGACAAACAACAAAUGGGAAUGUCCCUGAUGGUAGCCACCUUGCCUGCAGUAAUGUUUACCGUAGUAUUUCCAGAAGUUAAAAAAGUGCCCGGGACAUAUUGGAGCGACCAAAUAUAUUCACUGUGGAAGAUAGAGGUUUGCACAUGGGAUCAACCUGUCAUCUAGAACCAGAGUAUAAAGAACAUUUAUUUCUGUGAAUUUAUGUUAUUUGUCAUUUAACAGAUCAUGUUUAUUGAGAAUAACAAAAUCCUAUGCAAAGAAAUACAAACCUCAGCAAAAAAACAUAUGCAUCAAUUAAUAAAGCAUUUGAAUAUUUAAAAUUGGGAUUAUGCUGGUUUACAUAUAUAAAUAAAUAGCACAGAGACACACUGAGCUACUGCACUGAGCUACUUCUGAGAAAUCAGACAGCUAUUGAUUGGAGAUCAUUGCUACAGUUGAUUCUAUGGCAACAGUUGAAAUAAAAGGCAAAUAAAAGGGGGAAAGAGACAGAAUUUAGGUGGGAAUCCCAAGGGAAACCCAGAGAAAAGUGAAAGAAGGGUCUCAGGGUGACUUCUAAGAAGAUUUGUCAGAGGUUUAAGAGGAAGAUUGGAAGAUCAGUGAGGUCUAUAAAACUACUUAUAGGAAAAAAAAAAUAGCACCAUUUGAAAAGCAACCAUGGAUUGAUAUAAGUUGUGUUUAACUUAUAUCACAUCAUCCAUUAUAAUAAUUACUGUUACUUACUAUUUUAUCACUGAAAUUAACAUGGACAGUUUGAGAAACAAAAGUAAGUGAUGACAGUUGUGGGCAUGUAAGGGUUUUAAUUAAAGUGGAAAGAUGUCCUGUUGCAUUAGAAAGCUUAAACAAAUAAUUUUAUCUGAUGAGUAUGCAUUUAAGACAGAUAAAAACUUUGCAACUUAGUAAAAAGAAAUCAUUGACAGGCUUUUAACAUAUUUGUAAGAAUGUUUUAUUUAGUUACUUCUUCCAUAACAGUUCAAUCCUUCACUGUACAGUUGAGAGUAAGAACUUAGAGGUUGUCUGUUAAAUCUUUUGGAGUAAAUUGAAAACUAACACAAAGCCUAUACCAGCAAAUGAAGUUUAAUUGCUUCAAAAAUUCUGGACUAUGUUAUUUGAACAUAA